rnacentral:lncRNA from 1 species
GGUGCUUUUAGAUUUAAUGAUUGCCCUGCUGGGUCCCUUUCUUUUGGCCAAUUUAUCCCUUUUGGAAUGGGAGUAUUUACCCAAUGCUUGUACCCCAAUUGUAUCUUGGGAGUAAGUAACUUGUUUUUAAUUUUAUAGGCUCAUAGGCAGAAGGGACUUGUCUCACAUAAAACUUUGAACUGUGGACUUUUGAGUAAGUGAUGAAAUGAGCUAAGGCUUUGGGGAAUUUUGGGGGAAUACAUUAUUGGGUAAAUAUGAUUGUAUUUUGAAAUGUGAGAAGGACAUGAGAUUUGGGAGGGGCUGGGGCAGAAUGAUAUGGUUUGGAUCUGUGACCCUGCCCAAAUCUCAUGUUGAAUUGUAAUCCUCCCUAUUGUUUGAGGUGGGGCCUGGUGGGAGGUGAUUGGAUCAUGGGGGCGGAUUUUCCUCUUGGUACUAUGUUGCAAUGGUGAGGGAGUUCUCAUGAGAUCUAGUUGUUUAAAAGUAUAUAGGCUCUCCCCUACCCUCUUGCUCCUGCUCUGGCCAUGUAAGAUGUGCUUGCUUCUCCUUCACCUUCUGCCAUGAUUAUAAAUUUCCUGAGGCCUCCCCAAAAGCAGAAGCCUCUAUGCUUCCUGUACAGACUAUAGAACUAUGAGCCAAUUAAACCUCUAUCCUUUAUAAAUUAUCCAGUCUCGGAUAUUUCUUUAUAGCAGUGCAAGAAUAGACUAAUACAGUAAGUCACAGAGAAUGAGGAAGGGGUCUGUGUGUGGAACUGUCAGGUAGAAGGAGGGGGUAGGUCAGAAACUCUUUGGAGAUGGUCAAUUGGUGUAGCAAAACUGGGCUGACUGAUGGUGGAAUAGAGACUGGUGUUAGGUCAGGGUAAAGUGAUCGAGGACAGGACCAGAUACCAGUGAGUAAAAUAAGAGCUGUGAAUGCUGAGGGGCUGCAGGGCUUUCCUUCCACACGAGACCUAGCUUGCCUUGCUGAACUGGUGGCAGACUUGUUAAAAAGGUGGAAUAAAGGAAGACAAUUAUAAGAGUUAAAGAAUAUGAUGCUUUUAAUAUUCCCUGCAUAGUGCUUGAACUUAACAAGAGAUCAACAGAUGUUAAUUCCCUUUAGCCAUUUGUAGGGCAUAGAUUCAUUUCACUGGGGGUAGUGAGAUGGGGGGGGACCAUUAUGGAGGACCUAAUUCAUGAACACAAUGGGCAUGUGCUGGGUAUUUCGGUCUUCCCUACAUUGUUUCAUUUGGGAAUCUGCCUUGCCUCACUUAGUCUGGAGGACUCUAGAGGACCUCACAAUCAUGUGAUCCUGCAUUGACAACCACAGUAGAAGAAACAUAAUCUAAGCUGACCAGCAUAUCCUUUCUCAGUGGAUACAGAUUGGUCUAAUAGCGGGCAUGACCCAAGCAGGGCCACUCAGAGUACUUUUUCAGCAACUAAUUGGAUGCUGAGAGAGAAAGUAUCUCUGCUUCUGAGAGAGGCCCCACCUGUUAGGGUCCAAAUUAAAGUUUGAAAGCAAAGUCUCUAGAUUUAGAGAAAGACAGAUAUCACUGGAUUCUAUUGUGCCUGAAGCCCUAGACUUUUCAGUUAUAUAAACAAUUCAUUCUCUUCUUUUGCUUAAAUUAAUUUAAAUUAGGUAUCUCUCCCUUAUAACCAACAGAUCUGACAACUCUGUAGGGAUUAUCCUUGGAUAUUAAACUUUGCCAUAGCAUAUAUAAGAAAAUAUAUCAUUUCCCCCUUUUCUAAAUAGAUUUUAAUCUAAACUAUUUUUAAAAAUUCAAUUACGCAUUUCUAAGCUGUACCAUUGAACCAGUUAUUGGGAUUUUUUAAGAGGCACCUUGGGAACACUCCAUAUGUUCACCGUAUGAUAAUCCUUCUGUCCUGUGGGAAGAUGAGGACACUGGCAAGAAUACUCCAAGCCAGUGAGAAUACCACCAGGCUGAUGUGGGCACAGACCCUGUCUGUUCCCAGAGUCCCAGGUGCCCUGGCAAUUGAGGGAGCAUGCAGAGUUGAGAUUCAAUCUUACCACAGGGCAAGAAAGGCUCCAAGUAAGGGUCCAAAUGACUUGUCUUUAAAAAGAAGAGCAUAGAGGCCUAUGUCUGGAGCCUGGGAAUGGAGUCAGAAAACUGAGAAAUUAAAAAGUCAGGGGACAGCAGAUUCUGUAAGUAGAAUAAGAGAGUAGGCGUGAGAUAGAGCCGCAUCACUGCUGGACCUGUAUGCUCUCCAAAGUACAGUGUGGAUUAAGGACUGUGGAACUAGAAGGCAAGAACAAGGGCAGACAUCUAUAGGCCAUGCAUUGUUAACUAGCCUAUAAUUGCAGUGUAAGCACACAGAUAGAAUACAUUCAUAUAGAAAGUAGAGGUUCAUCCAUUUACCAAUUUUUUAACACGUUUUUAUUGUAAUCAAUCAUAUAUUAAACAUUUAUCAUGUGCAGAGUGUGGUGUUAGUAGAUGGGAUAGAGAUAAACACAAGAAGUGGUCUUUGCCUUCCAGGAGCCACAGCCUAAGCAGGCUUGUCUAGAUACGUGCACAGAUAGCUAGCAUGUGAAACAGUGUGUGACAAUUAGAUGUCACUCCCAAAAUUGAAACACCAACGGCUACAAAAUUUCUAAGGAGGCAGACAUUAUUCUUGGGUGAUCAGAAGAGACUUCCUCGAAGUUGGGGGAUAAAGUGGGUGAGUCACGGUGAUGAAGGGAGCCGCAUGGGUUUGGAAAGCAGACUGAGCUCUGCCACUUGUAGUUAUGUGGCUUUGGCAUGUAUUUAGCUUGUCUGAAUCUCAUUUUCCUCCUUUGUAAAUGAAUAAUUCUAUUUCAAAUAUCCAAGGUUAGUGUCAAGAUGAAAUAAGAUCACUUAGGCGUGGCUGAGAAUAGGCCAGGAGAGGGGAAGGCACUGCCCAGUGCCCCUGAUUCGGCUGAGGGAACACAGCAGGAUCCCCACACUGCAAGAGGCCUAGGCCAUGGCUCUGGACUCAAACAGCCUCAAAGUGGUUCCCAGACUGUCUCAGGAGAGCAAAAUGACCUAGAGUGACACAAAGAGACCUUGUGAGUGGGAGUAAGGAACAACCCAGCAGCUAGUUGGGCAGGAGAUAAACAAUCCUUCCCAUUUCACUUCUAAGUUCUGAUAGGAUUUACGUGAUGCUGAGGACAAGAUGCCAAAGCCUCCUCGUUCUCCAACAGCUUCAUGCUUGGCACCAGCAAUAUCCCCAAAGAACUUAGAUAUUCCUCCAAGGAAAAUGGGGACAGAAACCCUGAAUUAGCUGAAAACACGUUACUGGCACCAGGCAGGGGCUCAAAAAUAGGAACCAAGCUAUUCUAGAAUAUGUGGAAGGUAAUAUUGCUUGGACACUGUAGUUUAUGAAUUAUAAUUUAUACUAACUAAUCCAACAUAUAUUUGUUCUCUUUUUAUUUCCCCUUUCCCCACCAUUUCCAAGAAUGGAUGAUUCUGAAUAAAAUCCAUGAAAGCAGAGAACUAUCCAGUACAGAUAGCCUUUCACAGGUCUGCCUUUAUGGCUGUGAAAAUAAUUCAAAGAACACAUUUCUCCUAGUGGCAGGAAAGAUGUUUUACUGCCACAUAGAAAGGACAUUACAUUUUUUAAGAAAUCAUUUCUGUAUACCUCCAUCUAUGGCUUCUCAUACCAGAGAAGUUGACACAAUUGUUAGUCAUCUGUGACCAAUUUUUGGAAGCUGUGAAAAUGGAACCAAGUGUCCACUUAUCCACAAGUGGAGUAUGUGUACUCCAGGGAGGUGGAAAUGUCUCUUUCACUGGUGACAUUUAAGAAAAUGACAGGGACAGCUAUCACUCAGUGUGGGUUGGCUGCACAGCCGCCCAAAGGCAGCAUCACUGUUGCUGAGAGCAGGGAUGGGAGGGCUCCCAGAGCUCCAGGAAAUAGGUCAGGGUUGACAGCAGCAGCUGGUUUGCUCUGCCUUCCCCACACCCAUCUUCACCCUGACCCUCUUCUGGGCUCCCUGCCCUCACUCCUGUUUCCCCUCGGACUGCAACAUCAGCUCCUCUUCUUCCCUUUGACUUCCUCCAUUCCUCUCUCAAGUUGACAGGAACACAAAUCUCAAAUGCCUCUCCAAAAAGAAAAACUAAGAAAACUUUCCAGGCUGACAGGUGGUAGAAACAUUAAAAGUCUUACUCUUGAUUUUCCCAAAUUUAAUUUUGUUAACCGCAGAUGCAGAGACUGUGUUAGACUGUGGGCAAUUUGGAGUCUGCAUUAGUUUCCUGAGCUUAAUUUAAUGAAGGCAGAUAAAUGCCAUUGUAAUUCUGAAAAUGUCUUCACUCCUUAUUUAUCUAGUAUCAACAAAAAUGAACUGUUAUAUAUCAGUUAGUUUUACGGAUGAUUGAUCUUUACCCUCCAAACUUAAAAAUUUCUUUUUCAUCUAAAACGUAUUCUACAUUUCCUUCACUUAAUGAACACACCCUGUUUAGAAUUAUCACCACAUUCUUUGGUCAUCCAGGGCCACUGCAUCAAAUUUCAGCAGCUGAAUGGUGCUGAACUAAAUUUGUGCGCUCCAGGAUGGGCUGGAGGUCCCCACACUAAAUGUAUGCAGACCCCUGUGCUGAUCUAAUUAGUGAGGUGUCUGCCUGUCACAGCCCAUGCAAGAGAAUUGCAUGGACAGAAUUACUGCUGGGCCAAGUCAAUAUCAGGGUUUCUCCCUGAUAGUAAGAAACUAUGAACCAUCAGGGACAGGAGAGCGGGCAGUAGGAGAGUAAAUUCUGGGACAAAACCAGACUAAGGAGCAAAAGCAGGAAGGUAAAUGCAGGAAGGUCCAAAGGACAGAUAUAGAACCAGGUAAAGGGUGGUGGAGGUGAGAGUAACAAAAGCCAAGUGCUCAUGAGUCUGGAGACCCAUUUGUCUGCAGUCUGCUGCAUUGCCUAGACUUUAUUAUUUAUUUAUUUAUUUAUUUUUGAGACAGAGUCUCACUCUGUCGCCCAGGCUGGAGUGCAGCGGUGCAAUCUCAGCUCACUGCCACCUCCGCCUCCUGGGUUCAAGCGAUUCUCCUGCCUCAGCUUCCAGAGUAGCUGGGAUUACAGGUGUGCAGCACCACACCUGGCUAACUUUUGUUUUGUUUUUUUUUUUUUUUUUAGUAGAGAUGGGGUGAAACUAUGUUGGUCAGGCUGGUCUCAAACUCCUAACCUCAGGUAAUCCAACCACCUCGGCCUCCCAAAGUGCUGGGAUUACAGGCGUGAGCGACCGCGCCUGGUCGUGCAUUGCCUAGACUUUAUUGGCCCUUCUUGCACAGUCACUUCUGCUCUGGAAGCUUCUUAAAGGGUCCUUAUGAUUUUGGACGCUGACAUUGACAUUGUCUUUAUCUUCAUUAUCUUCAUCGCAGAUCGUUGAUUCUCCAAGUU